GUUCCAGUGCUGUCUAUCUACAGCAAUAAAUUAGUAAAGUCAAAAUUAAAACUAUCACAUUUGUGGUAAGAGCAUUUCAUUUCUAGAAAUAAUGGAAUGAUACCUACUUUUCAUAGAGCCAAUAUUAAUCUUUAAAUAUAGAAUAUAUUUUUUACUCUUAUUUUAUUAAUAUUGGUAUUUUACAAUUUAAAUCUAUUUAUAGUAUGUGUGGAGUAAUCCCUACAUUGACCGGUGUAAAGGCUAACAAAGAGUCCCAAAAGGAUCAUCUAACUCUUUUCGUAAGAGGUAGAAAAAAGUCUUUUUAGGGCCCCUUUUUGCAAUUUCUAGGGGGUACGGAGGUCCGUUGGAACCAAUUCGUUAAUUUUAUUUUCUUUUUAUUUAUUUUUCCUUUCUUGAUGAGUUUUCUUUUUAUUUGUAAAAGGAAACAUUGAGUUUUAUAUUGGUCCAUAGCCAAUAAAGCCAAGUUAGUCCCAUUAGCACAUAACUCAUAAGAAAAGAAAAGAAUUAUAAGAAAAAAAAAGAUAAAUAUUAUAGGCUAGAUUUGUAUCCAUAGUUAUCCUAGUGAAGGUAAAUAAUAAGGAGAAAUUAAAUUAAACCUAUCGGAACGAAAGACCUUAGCUCAAAAGCUACUUAAAGUCCUCUUCCAAUCUUUCCUGGUCCUACGAAGUUAGCUAAAGCUGUGCUGACCCAUCUUUGUAGUAAAUACUCUCAUCUAUAAAUAAAUAUAGGCUUGAUACGGAAGUUAAGAGGGGAAAUAAAAAGGAAUAAGGUGCGCAGAGUAACAGCGGUCCAGCGACGGCCAGCAUUCUGAGCCAUUAGCACGACAGGAGCCUAAAGCUCUGAGCGGAACCUUGACCUUGACCCUGAAUAACUGAUUUAGAUAAAUAUAAGCAGACUCAUAAGAAAGAAUAUAGUAUACCUCUAUCUCUAUGGUUAUAUACCUACAGUCAUGAACCAGCAUUGUUUCUACGAUAGCCAAAGAACUAGUGGAACUAAGCCCUAGUGUCUAGGAAAAGCAAAGACGUAAGGGAGUAAUCCUCACGCUACCCAAGUCAAGCGUCGGGUAUAGUCUGCUCUAAGCUAGGGUUAGGACUAAGACGGGAAGUGGCCUACUCGGAGUAGUAUAGUGAUAUAGAUGUCCACAGACUUCGUCAAUAAAAUCAUCCAUAACAAACAAGAGAGCACAGCGUGGUUAAACAGUGGUUAACAGAGAGCGAACAGAAGGCAACCCUAUUAAAGUGAGCCUACCCUGUUGACUCUGGAGACUAGCGAGUACUCUAGUGAGUUUAUCUUAUAUAUAGUAGUAAUACCCCCAUAAGGUAAGUAAGCUACAUCAGAGCUACCCGAAACACGGAGCAUAAUCGAUUCUUCCCAAAAGAGCUAAGGGUGUGGUAACCCUAGAGCCUGGAAAGGGAUGA
rnacentral:rRNA from 1 species